rnacentral:tRNA from 1 species
GGACGGUUAGCUCAGUUGGUUAGAGCUACUGGUUUACACCCAGUGGGUCGCAGGUUCGAGUCCUGCACCGUCUACCA